rnacentral:sRNA from 1 species
AACCACUUGCUUCAUCACCAACACUUUUCACAGGGAUGCAGUCCACCAACACAUCAAGAAAGAACUAAGGCUCCAGUCAUGUCAACACUUGGGCCAAGCUUCAAUCAUCAAGAGACAGUCUCUAGAUGACAUCAUAGAUAGAGAACCUUCCAGAAUUUAGGCAAUUGUUUUCCUUCACAAGAGGGUUCUUCUGAGAGGAUUCUUGUCACACAAAAAAUCAGCCAGUAGGUAAGCAAAGACAAUUCUUUUCUGAAUCCUCUUAGAAAAAUCCUCUUGUGAAAUGCUUCUCACAAAAAAUCAGCCAGUAGAAGAAAGGUAGAAUCCUCUCAGAAAGAUCCUCACAAAAAAUCAGCCAGUAGAAGAAAGGUCCUCUCAGGAAAAUCCUCUUGUGAAAUGCAUCACAAAAAAUCAGCCAGUAGAAGAAAGGUAGAAUCCUCUCAGGGAAAUCCUCUUGUGAAAUACUCCUCACAAAAAAUCAGCCAGUAGAAGAAAGGUAGAAUCCUCUCAGAAAAAUCCUCUUGUGAAAUGCUCCUCACAAAAAAUCAGCCAGGUAGAAUCCUCUCAGAAAAAUCCUCUUGUGAAAUACUUGAAGUUAGAUGCAGCUCAUAGACUUUCUCCGCGUCCUGAAGUAGGCUGUAUAGAGUUGAUUAGAGGACGCUUUCAAUGAUAAUUAUAAAAUAUAUACCCA